AUCACAACAAGAAUGUUUAACACACUGGGCCAGGGCUUGUCCUGGAAAGAGUCAUGAGUGCCACUAGGCCUGCAGCCUGGACCCAGCCCACAUCAGUUAGAGCGCGGUGUAUUUUCACACAAGCAUCCUUAUCAGUCUGGGGAGAAGGAGUUAGCUGCCGUCCUCGAGGGGGCAGAGGUGCCUGGCGUUCAAUGGGAGAAGGAAGGGGUUAAAUUUGGUACCAGCAUGUACCAGCUGCUUCAUCUGGUCUGGGAACUCCAACAUGGGGCAGGGGGAAAGAGGGGAAAGGGUGAGUGGAGAGAGC